GAUGAAGAACGCAGCGAAAUGCGAUAAGUAAUGUGAAUUGCAGAAUUCAGUGAAUCAUCGAAUCUUUGAACGCACAUUGCGCCCCUUGGUAUUCCGAGGGGCAUGCCUGUUCGAGCGUCAUUAUAACCCCUCAAGCUCAGCUUGGUGUUGGGGCCUGCCGCACGGGCAGCCCUUAAAAUCAGUGGCGGUGCCAUCUGGCUCUAAGCGUAGUAAUUCUUCUCGCUAUAGAGUCCCGGUGGAUGCUUGCCAUUAACCCCCAAUUUUCUAUGGUUGACCUCGGAUCAGGUAGGGAUACCCGCUGAACUUAAGCAUAUCAUAAGCGGAGG
rnacentral:misc_RNA from 1 species